rnacentral:lncRNA from 1 species
GACAAGGCUCACACCUGCUUAGCUUCAGUGGGUUGCCAGUUGUGAGUUGCAGGGUGGUAUGGUUGCUGGCAAUUAGAUGGGAACCUAAGGGAAUUGUUUUAGCUAAUUCAUUUUGACUUCCCCUGAUAUUAAUAAUGUUGACUUAAUUCUUCAUAUAUAUUUUGAAAAGGAAAAUUCCCUCAGUCUUUUACAUCUGAAGAUGUCUGGGGACAGAUCUCAAAUGGCUUCAGUUGGAACAUCCACCAAGUAAGAGUUCAUUGUUGUUUUACAAAGUCAUGUUUUAUUUCAGAAUCAUGUACCUAGCUGAUAAAAUACAAUUAGGGAGAAAGCUUAAUUAGGAAAAUGUAGGCCUUCUCUUGUUUCUAUAGACAAACAUUUUUCUAUGUUGUCUUAGGAAACCCGACAGGAUUCCCCUGGUGUGCAAGAUGUGCCUGAGGACAUUUGACCAGCUUCCUGCUCAUUUGAAGAGGGCGUGUAUGAAGCAAGCCACACCAGAGGAGAUCAGGAUGACCUCUCGCCAGGCCAGGAAGGACUUGAUGAAUCAUCUGAGGAAUGGGCAUGUUGUGGAUUACGAGAGCAUAGAGCUAUUGUUUGACAAGGCAAAUAGGAACCUAGCUGUGAGACUGGUGGAGUCCAUGGGCUGUUUUGUACGUAGGAAACCUGAAGACAAACCAGCAAGUUCCAGAUGCCCUGAGGAAGCGCGUGCUGUCCAGCAGAAAGAGCUGCUGCAGGCUCCUCCAGAGACUGAGGAGGACGAGGAAGAUGAAGGGGAACAUGGGAGGUCUGAAGAACUGGAGCAGCAGUAAGA